ensembl:snRNA U6 U6 spliceosomal RNA
AUGCUUACUUUGGGAGCAAAUAUACUAAAAUUGGAACAAUACAGAAAAGAUUAACAUGACUCCUGCUUAAGUAUGACAUGCAAAUUUGUGAAAGCUUCCAUGUUUUC